GUAGGCAAAGUCCACACUACAUGGAUUUUGGUGCUGAGCAGCUACCCAAGGUGUGGUGACGCCAAGAGACACUGACUUUAAGAAGAGGACACUCCUGCUUUUUUCCAAAAUAUCUAGUAAUAUUCCAAGACCAUCACAUCCAAAGCUUUCAACCCAACUGAAAAACAGGAAAAAGGAAAUAUUAAACUCUUAAUUGCCUCAAGAAAAACUACGUAUGUAUACUACCACGUAGCACUUUGUAGAAGAGGUCUCAAUGUAGGCGAAAAAAAGACAACAGAACUAAAAGGGGGGGGGGGGGAGUCUC